AAAAAAUGACCUUUCGUUGAAUAAUUUUGGAGCAGAAAUAAAAGAAGGCUUGCUGCUACCAGAAAGUCAUUAAGGCAUUAGUUUCUCUAAGAAGACAGAUCUGAAGAAUGUGCAAGAAAAUGAGAAAAAAAUAAAAACAAGGUCUCUAUUGGCUUUCCUGAACGUAAGAAAAAGAAUCUUCAGAGAAAAAGGAAAGAGGAAGAGGGGAGGGGGCUCAGAAAACAAUAACAGCAGCCUAUCUACAUUGUGCUUUACAGUCUACAGUGUGCAUUCAUAUUUAACACUUUGGACUGAACAUUUGACACUUUGGAGUGAAUAGAUAUAAUUAUCCUCAGUUUACAGGUGGGAAAAUGAAGGCACAGAAAAGGUUCCCGGGGACAAUAGCAAGUCAGCAAGUUCAAGGCUUAUUGUUUUCUGGACCUCAAAUUCAGGCUGCAAUUUUGUGAAGAUGAAGAAAUGAAGGCUCGGAAUGGACAAGUAACUUAUCGAAGGACACAUAGCUAAGUGGUAAUAGUUGGAUUUUGAACUUAGACCGUUUGGCACUUGAUUCUAUUUUACUACAUUACACUGCUGCCUAUUAGAAAGUUCAAUCACUGAUCAUAUUGCCUAACAAAUAAUAAAUUCAUUAUAAACAUUUAUUGAAUGAAUGAGAAUGAAUGAAUUAAUGUUGAUACGGGUUAAACUUGUAGGACAAUCUCACUAUGCUAGUAUUGUUAUAAAGAAGAAAACUAGGUAAUUAUUCAUUACACUUAAUCCAUGUUGAUGACCAGGCCAAGUCAAACACUCAUUUAUGACUCAAUAUUAUCUUCUUUUUUUGACCAGCUAUUAUAAUUACCUAAACCAUUCACUGAGAAUUUCCUAAAACAAAGCAAAAAGAAGAAGGUAUAGUAUCAGAUAAAUUUGGUAUCUAACUCAAGACCAAUAUUUCACAUUUCAAAUUAUUCCACGGACCAGUAUAAUCUAAAUUUAUUACUAAAGAUGCCAACAGACAUGGAGAAGAGAAAAAAAUUAAGAAAGUCAUAAUAUAACCACUGUCAAAGCAGAUGGGGUGGAAAGGAAUCUAGGAACUAUACAUUUGACUUUCUGGACUAAUCCAUGAGAUUAUUGUUUAGACGGAUUGCUCUAUACUGCAUAAUUCAAGUUUUACCUCAUACUAUUUGUAUGUGUUUCUCUCUGUCCAUCUGUAUUGAGUUUUCUAGUUUGACAAUGGACAUUAUUCUGGUGAGCUGGCUAAUUUCCAAGACUCCCUUUUAUUUCAUAACAGAUAGAAUUAGCCACAAUUUCUAUUUCACACUGCCUAUGUGUAGACACAGGGAUCACUCAAUUUGCAAGAAGAAAAAUAAGUUACCGUG
rnacentral:lncRNA from 10 species